rnacentral:rRNA from 1 species
GACGAACGCUGGCGGCGUGCCUAAUACAUGCAAGUAGAACGCUGAAGAGAGGAGCUUGCUCUUCUUGGAUGAGUUGCGAACGGGUGAGUAACACGUAGGUAACCUGCCUUGUAGCGGGGGAUAACUAUUGGAAACGAUAGCUAAUACCGCAUAACAAUGGAUGACACAUGUCAUUUAUUUGAAAGGGGCAAUUGUUCCACUACAAGAUGGACCUGCGUUGUAUUAGCUAGUAGGUGAGGUAAUGGCUCACCUAGGCGACGAUACAUAGCCGACCUGAGAGGGUGAUCGGCCACACUGGGACUGAGACACGGCCCAGACUCCUACGGGAGGCAGCAGUAGGGAAUCUUCGGCAAUGGGGGCAACCCUGACCGAGCAACGCCGCGUGAGUGAAGAAGGUUUUCGGAUCGUAAAGCUCUGUUGUAAGUCAAGAACGGGUGUGAGAGUGGAAAGUUCACACUGUGACGGUAGCUUACCAGAAAGGGACGGCUAACUACGUG